ACUUCCGAAACAUGUACAUUUGUAUAUCCUUUCUUCAUAUUUCCCAUUUGGCAAUAAGAUUCUGUCAUUCUAUUAAAAAAAAUGCUACAUAGAAAGAAGCGAGCAAGGAUUUGAACUAGGUAGGUUCCAACAAACUCAACAAAGGAUGAGCCCUGCCGUAGUUUGAUACAGCAGAUCAUUUUAGCCAAAAAACUGGUGGACAAACUGAAGUUAUCAAUUUAACACCCACAAUCAAUUAAAAAGAACCAUCACAAGCAGAAAAAAG